rnacentral:tRNA from 1 species
GGGUGGGUAAUUUAAUGGCUAGAAUGACAAUCUCCAAAAUUGUUUGUCUAGGUUCGAUUCCUAGUCCACCUGCCA